rnacentral:lncRNA from 1 species
GCGGUCAUAAGAGGCAUAUAGUUCGAUCCAAAACUUUUUAAAAUGAUAAAUGGGGGGAGGCGACAUCAUUAUUAUAACAUCGAUAACCAUAUCAAAUAUAAAGAACACUUAAAAGACUCUUUGUCGAGUGAUGCGAAACAAUAGCUCGCCGGAAGAAAAUGAUUAUCGCUUAUACACCAGAAAGAAAAAUCCAUUCUCGAGCAAAUCUUAAACCAUCUUCCAUCCGGAAAACCUCCAUCGACAAUGGACGAGCCGUCGAUUCCUGCUCGGUCAAGCUAAC